rnacentral:lncRNA from 1 species
UACACUAUGACUGAGUUCACUAUAUCCAGAAUUGACUAUAUGCAAAUUUCAUGAAUACUUUUGAAAUGAAAAUACUAAAAUCAUAUUAACUUUUUAAAUCAAAUUAAUAUAAAAAAUUGUUUUUUAAUUACAGGAGCCUUUCAUAAAUUUAUUAUCCCAGUGUUUGGCUAACUUCCAAGACUAUUGACCAUUUCUCUUAAAUAAUGCCAGCUAGGCAAAAUUUCCAGUUUGUACUUCUGUUGAUUUUUAUUGAAGGAAGAAAGUCACAGAACUAAAAAAUUUCAGGCAGUUAAAAAAAAAAAAAUCUAGACUAACAGAUUUAUCAAAAAUAUUAACAAGAAAUUAUUUUUGUCAACAUAUCUUCCAGAUUGUAACUUCCUGAUAAUGUUGUUUUUCAAUGAAGUCUCAGGACAUAAUAAUCGUAGUUUACAUAUUGAGAAACACCCUAAACACCUUGUUUACGUCUAGAGUAUUGUGUGGGCUUCAAACUCGAACAAGGAUAAAAUAACUAGUCGACCGUGGACAGGCAGAUUCUCCUUUUUUCUAUAAAUCGGUCCCCUGCCAAUCUGCUAAAGUUGAAAAAAACACAUACUCUGGCAGGAGGCCAGAUUUUCGGGUGAAUAACCCUACCGGACCUGUUGUUCGAGUUUCAGAAGCUGCCGUUUUGCCUAAUAACACGCCAUUUUACGGUUUGUUUCCGAUAAAGUAGUUGUAUAUUGGAACAACUCUUACCGCAGCAUCCUCGAGAGGUUGGCUAGAAAGUCAAUCGAGUGGAUAUCUUUUUUCUUAGCAACUGCUCCCUAUCUAGAUUAUAUUAUUUUUUAAUCAAAUCCUCACGAUAUAUUUAAAAGUUUCCAGAUCGUCAAAAUAUUUUUAGAAGCUGUGCGUGGCUAAUCAAUGUCGGGAAAACAAAACUGCUAAAUGGGUUAAACGUUUAUAAACGGAGUAUGCUGCGUUAUCGAUUGAUUCCGGCUAUUUCCGGGCGGUUUUUCGGCACCGAAAAUGUCGAACGAAAAGCCGAAAUGGUUUAGAAAACCGGUUGAACUCUGUCUCCUCUUCGGAUGGAGGUCAACUCGACCGAAAAUGUUUCCGCAAAAUGAAAUGCUUUGUAGUGUCGUGGGUAGAAAGUGGGUGGCAAAGAAGGUCAGUCGUUACCCCCACUCCACCCUAUCCACCGUCAGCAGGUGGAUAUUGAAUAGAAAUCUCCAAUCCAUUGUACCGUCCUGAUGGUACCAUCAUGCUUCCUUAUUGUAACCUCAGAUUCUUAAGCCGCGGUGGCCAAUAUUGUCUCUCUCUCUCCUCCUAUCGAGACGUUAGAUAAGUUCGACCCCCUCUUACUUGACGUGAAUUUGUUUCAUUCGUUUUUAAAAGCUUUCUUCUACCGUUAUCGAUUGUUGGAGCAGAGCGAUUAUCAUUCUGAUUUUAUAAACUGUCUCCCGGGUUGGUAAUUUGCCUCCACGCUUAAUAUAUACGCGCUGUGGCGCGUAUUUAAUUACAAAACAUUCUAUUUUUCAUCUUCCGGGCCGUUAAUAGACUUCUCUUUUAGUAACAAUCUCCUUUUUGCUCGAUAUUUAUAACAUAAUUUUAAAAAUAGGUUGAAACCGAUUAAUCGGACUAGCUUAACUCACUUUUAGUAUGGUUUCUCUAUACUUUUAUUUUAUUUUUUUUAAUUUUUUCGGAAAAAUUAAGAACG